GAUCUCUUGUAUGAAUAUAGUUUUAGUGUGGGCAACGAUCCGAGGAAACUCCUUUAUUCUUCUUACAUGAGUCCAAGCCUCCAGCAGGCCAUAUUCUGGGCAGUGGGCUGGUGAAAGCUCUGGUAUCUCUCCUGUCUGGUGUUUGAGCUCUCUUCCAGACCAGGACACCAACUCAUAAACAAAGUGCUUUACACCAUCACUGAUUUAGUGCUGGAGUGUAUGCUGUGUGUGAACACCACAUUCAUGGAAGUGUUAGCCUGGAAGGAUGACCGGUCUCAUUUUGUGGUGAAAACAUUUGGCCUCGCUGCGUUCCACCUGACUGAUUUUCUGGAGAUGCAAUUUCAACAAUGGAGCAGCAACACAGUGUACAGGCAGAGCCCACACCGAUGGUCCAGACAUGUGCAGUUGCAACCACCUGGCAUCAUUUGCAGUAUCACAUGAGAACAUCAUAAGCAGCUACAAAUCUGCAGAUGUUUCACAGUUUAUCCAGUACACCUGCAGUGUCUUUCUCCACAUUUAUCAGAUCUGUAUAUGGCUGUUUUUCAACUUACUUCCUGUCUUGCAGCUCAAAAACCAACUACAUACUGAUCAUUUUGGCUCUCUAUGUGGUGGUGCUGGUCAUCUGUAGGAAGGCUGAGGUUUCAUUACAGAAAACUACAGGCUCGUUCCUGCUACCAGAAAACAGUCCCUCAGACCGGUUCCUCACCAUAGAUACAGGAAUGAGAUCUAGAACCAGAAUGACAGCAAAGGGAACUCAGCAGCUCUGA
ensembl:lncRNA